rnacentral:rRNA from 1 species
UACGUAGGGGGCGAGCGUUAUCCGGAUUUAUUGGGCGUAAAGAGCUCGUAGGUGGCCUAGCAAGCGGCAGGUGAAAUCCCGCGGCUCAACUGCGGAACUGCUUGCCGAACUGCUAGGCUAGAGCGCGGGAGAGGGCAGUGGAAUUCCUGGUGUAGCGGUGGAAUGCGUCAAUAUCAGGAAGAACACCCGUGGCGAAGGCUGCUGCCUGGAACGUUGCUGACACUGAGGCGCGAAAGCUAGGGGAGCGAAC